AGAGUUUGAUCCUGGCUCAGGAUGAACGCUAGCGGCAGGCAUAAUACAUGCAAGACGAACGGCAAGAAUUGUAGCAAUACGGUUCCUAGAGUGUCGUACGGGUGCGUAACACGUAUGCAACCUACCUUUUACAGGAGUAUAGCUCGGUGAAAACCGAAUUAACCCUCCAUAAUAUCAUUUGAUGGCAUCAUUAGAUGAUAAAAACUGCGGUGGUAAAAGAUGGGCAUGCGUUUGAUUAGUUAGUUGGCAGUGUAACGGACUACCAAGACGAUGAUCAAUAGGGGACCUGAGAGGGUGAUCCCCCACACUGGCACUGAGAUACGGGCCAGACUCCUACGGGAGGCAGCAGUAGGGAAUAUUGGACAAUGGGUGAGAGCCUGAUCCAGCCAUGCCGCGUGCAGGAAGAAGGCGUUAUGCGCUGUAAACUGCUUUUGCCAGGGGAUAAAACGACUCUGCGGAGUUAAUUGAAGGUACCUGGUGAAUAAGCCACGGCUAACUACGUGCCAGCAGCCGCGGUAAUACGUAGGUGGCAAGCGUUGUCCGGAUUUAUUGGGUUUAAAGGGUGCGUAGGCGGCCCUGUAAGUCAGUGCUGAAAUAUCCCGGCUUAACCGGGAGGGUGGCAUUGAUACUGCAGGGCUUGAGUACAGAUGAAGUAGGCGGAAUUGACGGUGUAGCGGUGAAAUGCAUAGAUAUCGUCAAGAACACCGAUAGCGAAGGCAGCUUACUAAGCUGUAACUGACGCUGAGGCACGAAAGUGUGGGGAUCAAACAGGAUUAGAUACCCUGGUAGUCCACGCCCUAAACGAUGAAUGUUAGUCGUCGGGUAGCUAGUCUAUUCGGUGAUGCAGCUAACGCAUUAAACAUUCCGCCUGGGGAGUACGGUCGCAAGAUUAAAACUCAAAGGAAUAGACGGGGACCCGCACAAGUGGUGGAGCAUGUGGUUUAAUUCGAAGAUACGCGAAGAACCUUACCUAGCCUUGACAUAUAUUAGAACACUUUAGAGAUAGAGUGGUGCCUUCGGGAGCUUUUAUACAGGUGCUGCACGGCUGUCGUCAGCUCGUGUCGUGAGAUGUUGGGUUAAGUCCCGCAACGAGCGCAACCCUCGUCACUAGUUACUAACGGUUCGGCCGAGGACUCUAGUGAGACUGCCUUCGUAAGGAGGAGGAAGGUGAGGACGACGUCAAGUCAUCAUGGCCCUUACGGCUAGGGCAACACACGUGCUACAAUGGCCAGGACAAUGAGACGCGAUACCGCGAGGUGGAGCAAAUCUAUAAACCUGGUCUCAGUUCGGAUUGUAGUCUGCAACUCGACUACAUGAAGCUGGAAUCACUAGUAAUCGUAGAUCAGCUAUGCUACGGUGAAUACGUUCCCGGGUCUUGUACUCACCGCCCGUCACACCAUGGGAGUUGAUUUCACCCGAAGCGGGGAAGCUAAACUGGCUACCCUCCACGGUGGAAUCAGCGACUGGGGUGAAGUCGUAACAAGGUA
rnacentral:rRNA from 1 species